rnacentral:lncRNA from 1 species
CACGUUUGAAUUCCAUAACAUAAAAUAAAAUCUAAAACAUAAAGUACGACAUAAACCGAGAGUCCGAAAUACGAAAUAACAUAAACGAUAAAAGCCCAAAGGCUUAGAAGCCCGAUAACGAUAAAAGAGAUAAAACGAUAGAAGCCCAAAAGCCCAAUACUAGUAAAAGCCCAAAAGCACCGGUCCGGUAUAAUCACUCCUGCUCGUCGGUCUCACCUGAAAGGGGGAAAGAAGGAGGGGUGAGCGACAGGGGAAUCGCCCAGUGAGGUGUGGGAUGCUAAACCGCAAACCACUGACUCAGUUCAUAGCACUACAACUAUGUAGGCCUAGCUCUAGCAUGAAGCAAACACGGUGUCUAUUACACCACACAGAACAAUCACAUAUGUCUAGUGGACUAGACACGCUACAACCAAUGCGAUAAUAACAUACCGCAUUUCCUCAUAAGGAUAUAAAUAUAUAUAUAUAACUCUACAGCGUCGUAAGUACAGUAGUCCACUCUGUACCCCCGCAAUCUCCACAAACAAGCGGCCUAGUACAUACGUCUCUGUACCCCGCUAAACACACGGCCUAGUACAGAUAUCUCCGUACCCCGCGAUCUCUCAAACAAUGCGUAGCUAGCACAGACGUCAUGUGCCCCCGCAAUCACACGGCCUAGUACAAACGUCUCUGUACCCGGAAAAUUCCGCGGCCUAGUGCAGAUACCUAUGCACCCCGCAAUCUCAACACAUGGACUAACAUAUAUACAUAUAUAUAAUUAACAGUUUUUAGCAGCAAUCAUUUCAAUCAACCGUUGAAUCCUCUAUUAUCCUAUUUCCGGUUUAACAAUCAAUAUCAAUAACGAACAACCAAGACUCUCAAACAGACUCGAUUCAAAGAGACGGAUCCAUGUUUCGAAACUAAACUUUCCAUAAUGGUAGUACUAAACUAGCUCGGGAUUUAACGGAGUAGCCCUCACCUUAGCAAUGAAGAGAAGUGGUAUAUAUGAACUCCAGCUGCUCAAAUGGACUCCAAAUC